rnacentral:lncRNA from 1 species
UGACACGAAGAGGUAUUGUGUUUCCGGCGGUUUGUGUGGUUUGAUGGAGAUGAUGGCGCAGUGGCUUGUGCGACGGUAGUGAGUCGGUCGGGUGUCGGCGAUGGAGUGUUUUACGGGUGAAGGAUGUGGAAUCGCGUGAGGUUUGAAGAAGGCGAUGAGGGUUUUUUGUGUGGAGGUUAGGUUGAGUAGAUCGCGGACAGUGGUGAGGCGGAAUGAGCGAUUUGAGGGCGUGGUGGUUGUGAGAGAGGAAGAAGGGUUUGUUGCUGGCGGCGGAUUGCGCUUUGUUUUUGUUGUUGGUGAGCGGUGGAGAUCCGUUUUUUUUUUGCGGUCGAUGAGAGAAUGUAGGUGAUUGAUGGUGGUGGCGCGGUAUUUGUGGAUCUGGUCGAAGGGUGGUUGGGUUGUGAUUUCUACGGUGGUGAUGAGGUUGAAGACGAAUGGUGAGUGUUUGUUGGAUUGUAGUUGGGAUAUGGUGGAAGACGGCGGAUUUCUCGUCGAAAGAUGAUGGAGGAGAAGAUGAAGGGGUUGAAGGUCGUGAGGUUGAUGGAAGGAGGCAAAGGCGAGGGUUUUGUGAUGGUAGCGUGAGUUUGAGCGGAGGUUGUGGGUUUAGUGAUAGUGGAAGGCGAUGAAGACGGAAGAUGAAGGGGUUUUGAUGAGAGAGUGAAGAGAGAUUUGUGAGGAAUUAUGAUGGUAGCGUGAGUUUGAGCGGAGGUUGUGGGUUUAGUGAUAGUGGAAGGCGAUGAAGACGGAAGAUGAAGGGGUUUUGAUGAGAGAGUGAAGAGAGAUUUGUGAGGAAUUCUGUUGUGAGGGAGAGCGAUUCUCAGAGAGAGCGAUGAGAGAGUUAUUGGUGAG